UACGUAGGGGGCAAGCGUUGUCCGGAUUUAUUGGGCGUAAAGAGCGUGUAGGCGGCCAGAUAGGUCUGUUGUGAAAACUCGAGGCUCAACCUCGAGACGCCGAUGGAAACCAUCUGGCUAGAGUCCGGAAGAGGAGAGUGGAAUUCCUGGUGUAGCGGUGAAAUGCGCAGAGAUGUGGAGGAAUACCGAUGGCGAAGGCAGCCCCCUGGGAUAACACUGACGCUCAUGCACGAAAGCGUGGGGAGCAAACAGG
rnacentral:rRNA from 1 species